UACCAGCACCCCGAGUGGUCGGGACGAUUAUUGGGCCUAAAGCAUCCGUAGCCGGUUCUGCAAGUCCUCCGUUAAAUCCAGCUGCUCAACAGAUGGGCCGCGGAGGAUACUACAGAGCUAGGAGGCAGGAGAGGCAAGCGGUACUCAGUGGGUAGGGGUAAAAUCCGUUGAUCCAUUGAAGACCACCAGUGGCGAAGGCGGCUUGCCAGAAUGCGCUCGACGGUGAGGGAUGAAAGCUGGGGGAGCAAACGGG
rnacentral:rRNA from 1 species